AGUCUUUUUCUGCUACGUUCCCCAGCCUGCUCAAGUCAUUGCUGGAGAAGGGCUUCUGGACUGCAGGGACCUUCUUCCUGCCUAUUUUUAUGUUGCCUCCCAUCUUUGUUAAUAAGACUGUGGAUGAAUCAAAAGCAGCUUCUGGAAUGAGAGAAUAAGAACAGAUCUCUUGAUGGUCAUAGGUGUUCAUAAGGGGUUUUUAUUUUCAUGCUGGACUGGAGCACCUCAG